GCCUAGCUAUCUCAGUCGGUAGAGGAUGAGACUGUUAAUCUCAAGGUGGUGGGUUCAAGUCCCACAUUGGGUG